rnacentral:misc_RNA from 1 species
CAGAGUUGCAAAACUCCCAAACCCUGUGAACAUACCUGAGACGUUGCUUCGGUGGGCGGCCCCAGGGCGGGGCCAUAUGCCUUUUGGUGCCCACCGGAGGACCCAAACUCUUAUAUAUUUUAGUGGUCUCUCUGAGAAAUCAUAUAAUAAGUCA